ensembl:snoRNA SNORA66 Small nucleolar RNA SNORA66
AUGCAGACUCCGAUCACUUCUACUGUGUUUCAGUGUGAAGGGGAACCAGGUCUGCUACAGUAAUUGGGUGCAAAGAUGGUGCUAAGCCUGUAAUGCUUGGAACUGUUUGCAAUGCAACCCCUACAGUA